AAAAGUAAAUAUUGUGUAAACAAGAGGGUUAGGACCAUACGUUCUAAAUAUACGAAAAUACUAGAUGCUCUAAAACUUAUGACAUAUUACAUAUGUUGUCAGUGGCGGACCUAGGCUUGGGCAACCUAGAUCACGUGACCCACUAAUAUUUUAAAAAAAAAAAUUGAAAAAAAAAUUACGCGCUCCAAUCCCUCUGUGGAAGUUGGAAAAGCCAAAUCAAAACACAAAACCUAAUCCCUGACUCCCCUCUCUUCGACGCAGUCACGACUCACGCAGGCCGCAACCGGCCCACCAGCCACCGCCCACCACUCCACCAGGUCAUCCGAGUUCCGACCACCGAAGACCGAACCCAGAUCCGCUCAUCCGCAGCAGAACCGAGUCAGUCCGUGGUCGCGGCGAAGAAGAACCGAGCAGCAUCGACUCGUCGAGCACCGAGGAAGAGGAGGAGCUGAGGAGCAGCGACUAGCCAAGCACCGACGGACGAGCGGAGGAGGCGAGGACUCGAGGAGGAGCCGCCGUCGAGCAGUGCUUGCUUCUGCCUAGGCUCGUGAUUUGAGUUUUGAGCAAAGAAAAUGGAGAGGCGUCGAGAUUAGGUUUCAGAAAUUGAUGGUGUUUUUAAUGAUUAAAUAAGACUGUUGCUGUUGGAAAUGCUGCUGGAGUUGGAACUCAUUCCUGUGCUGAAUGUGCUUCUGAAUGUGCUGCUGAAUAUCGAUGGUACUAAGAACCAGACUUACUGCCUUUGUUUAUAUGGAAGUCUUGGAGAUACAUGAUGCAAGUCAUGCAACAACACAUCUUCAGGUAUGAGUUUAAAACAAAUCAUGGAGAAUGGAUCACUUCAAUGAAAUCAAAUUUUGGGGAUAAUGUAUCAGGACGUGUUCGUACAGCAAUCAAGUCAUUGUGUUCUACAUUACAGAAUCCUCUAAUAAGAGGCUGCGAGAUCUUCCAUUUCUUCUUCGAAGGUCAUUGAAUGAUUUGCUAGAUCCUCAAAGAUCUUUGCCAUUCGUCAUCAAAGCUCGGAUUUAUUUGGCAGUUAAGUGAACAACUCAAUUUACAACAACUUGUUUUCUUAUUCCUUCAUUGAGUUGUGUGUAGAGUAAAUUUCGGCCUUGUAAUUUCAAGUGUUCUUCAGUUCCAUAUAUGUAUUGAGUCCAGUGGACAUUAUCCCUGAAGGUACAAUAGUUCCAUUAAA